rnacentral:rRNA from 1 species
AUUGAACGCUGGCGGCAUGCCUUACACAUGCAAGUCGAACGGCAGCACGGGUGCAACCGUGGUGCCGAGUGGCGAACGGGUGAUUAAUACUUCGGAACCUGCCCAUCAUUGGGGGGAUACCCCCCCCACAGCUGAGCUUAUACCGCAUACGAUCCUACAGAUUAAAGCAGGGGAUCGCAAGACCUUGCGCGAAUGGAGCGGCCGAUGGCAGAUUAGGUAGUCGGUGAGGUAAAGGCUCACCAAGCCGUCGAUCUGUAGCUGGUCUGACCGGACGACCAGCCACACUGGGACUGAGACACGGUCCCAAACUCCUCCGGGAGGAGCCAUGGUGAAU